GGCUUAGAGUUUGAUCCUGGCUCAGAUUGAACGCUGGCGGCAUGCUUUACACAUGCAAGUCGAACGGCAGCGGGGGCUUCGGCCUGCCGGCGAGUGGCGAACGGGUGAGUAAUGCAUCGGAACGUACCCAGUCAUGGGGGAUAACUACGCGAAAGCGUAGCUAAUACCGCAUACGCCCUGAGGGGGAAAGCGGGGGAUCGCAAGACCUCGCGUGAUUGGAGCGGCCGAUGUCGGAUUAGCUAGUUGGUGGGGUAAAGGCCUACCAAGGCGACGAUCCGUAGCGGGUCUGAGAGGAUGAUCAGCCACACUGGGACUGAGACACGGCCCAGACUCCUACGGGAGGCAGCAGUGGGGAAUAUUGGACAAUGGGCGCAAGCCUGAUCCAGCAAUGCCGCGUGAGUGAUGAAGGCCUUAGGGUCGUAAAGCUCUUUUACCCGGAUGAUAAUGACAGUACCGGGAG
rnacentral:rRNA from 1 species